rnacentral:rRNA from 1 species
UGGGGAAUAUUGCACAAUGGAGGGAACUCUGAUGCAGCGACGCCGCGUGAACGAAGAAGGCUUUCGAGUCGUAAAGUUCUUUUAUAUGGGAAGAUAAUGACGGUACCAUAAGAAAAAGCCCCGGCUAACUACGUGCCAGCAGCCGCGGUAAUACGUAGGGGGCUAGCGUUGUCCGGAAUCACUGGGCGUAAAGGGUUCGCAGGCGGAAAUGCAAGUCAGGUGUAAAAGGCAGUAGCUUAACUACUGUAAGCAUUUGAAACUGCAUAUCUUGAGAAGAGUAGAGGUAAGUGGAAUUUGUGGUGUAGCGAUGAGAUGCGUAGAUAUUAAAAAGAAUACCGGUGGCGAAGGCGACUUACUGGGCUCAUUCUGACGCUGAGGAACGAAAGCGUGGGUAGCAAACAGG